rnacentral:lncRNA from 1 species
AACACUAUGUAGACUGAGGAGCCUCUGACCAACUCAGCUUCUGAAAAAAAUCCAAACCUGUCCCUGCAGUUUCGGCUGUGCUGUUUCCGGAGUCAAGUAUUGAGGUUGAAGGAGGCUGAUUAGGCCUGGUCUGUGGCAGAAUGGUGCCCAAGCAGGGACCUCUGGACAGGACAGAUGGCAAAUUUGGACACAUUUACAGGAUGACAUGUCAUGCAAUAUUAAAAUGAAAAGUGACUUUGUGUGCUGGUAUAAGAAGAUCUUGAAGAUAGAGAUGACAGACCACCUGGACAAUGCUUCCUGAUCGUUUUUGUUAAAGGACUGUCACCCUGAAUUGGGAGGCUCCUGGCACUUUGCCCUUCUGCUUGUUGACAUCCCCUGAAGGAGGAGUUCUCAGGACACAUCAGGUGAAUUCUAGCCAUAACAUCAGGCUCCAAAGAGUUUUCUAGCUAAUAAUGUCCACUAUUGAAGACGUUUCGUUCUUGUCUAUUUGCUGGAUGCCUGGGUUAGCAGAAGCUUGUCUAAGGAGUCACUGCCUGUGUUGAAGUGGGCUCUGCAGUGAAAUAGCUGUUGGGAAGUUACCCAAGCUCCUGUAAGUAACCUCACACUGGACUCCUUAGCAACCCCGAAGGAAGCUCAGUAGAUCCUCAAGUUGAAUGUCUGCACAGUUGGUACUUCAGUCUGCCAUUAAGUUCUAUUUCUGGUGGGUGUGUACGUGUGUGCGUACGUGUGUGUGUGUGUGUGUGUGUGUGUGUGUGUGUGUGUGUGUUACAAAUCUGUUGUUCUUCAGGGAUAACUUCCCCCUUUUGUGUCUCAGGGUGCUCAGUUGGGAGUUCCCUAAUCCUUCCCUCUUCUUACACUUAGCUGCCUGGAGUCAUGGCCUCAGCCAUGGCCUUGUGGAUAUUUUCUAGCUCACAUAAACAAUCCUGAGAGAACAUUCGUGGUCGUAACAGCAAGAAAGUUUAUGGGAAAAGAGGACACUGUGACUGUUGGUUCCAGGAGCUGAAGAUUGCCACCUGACCUUCAGAGAGCCCCCAGUCUCUCCCACUCCCCACCCCCCAUCCCUUGGAGCCUCCUCUUGCUUAUGCUUAUAUUGCCACUCCUGAAUAAAGUUUUCAGAGCUUGAUCAG